CUUUGUAAUAUUUGUUGAAAGAUGAUCCAUUUAUCCUCAGUGUUCUUUUCACUAAAGAGUUUAUGCCAGUCAAUAUAUUGUAAAGCUUCCCUUAACUUAUUGAAGUUGGCCUUUUUAAAAUUAUAUGUUUUAGUAUUCCCCAUGUGCUUUUGUUUUUUCGAGUUUAUUUCAAAGGACACUAUAUUGUGAUCACUAUUUCCCAAGUGCUCACCUACUUGAAUGUUGGUCAAAAGAUCAACGUUGUUUGUUAAAACCAGGUCCAGACAAGCAUCCAUUCUAGUUGGUG